GUUUUUAAAAUCUUCCAUUGCUUCUCUCAUCAUCAUCAUCACUCACUUCCACAUGCUUCGAAGAAACGCCUGAACCUUUGGAUUCCGGGCAUGCUGCGCCAAUUUGAUCAAUCCCGAGAUGAAUGUUUCAUUCUCUCUUCUUCCUUCUUACAAUCUCGGAAUCUGCGCUUCUUUCCGCUGGGGAACUUAGAUGCUGUGCUGCUGCGUUCCUCAACAACUGUAGCGGUUCGGCUUUUGUUUUGAAGGUUAAUGGCUUGU